rnacentral:lncRNA from 1 species
CAGGCUCACAUACCAGGGUGUCCAACCCAUGCCCAACCAGGAAAAAAGAAGGAGAUUGAAGGAGAAAAAGGGAGAGAGAUGGUCACCAAGCUGAAGGCAGAUGAAGAAGUGAGAGAGAGCAAAGUGCCUUCUUGCUGGGAGCCUCCCUUGUGUCUGGAAUGAUCAGAAAUCGGGGAGAAAUGGUACAGCCUUCAGCAGACGAAAUUGAGCAGUUGUGCUGUGAGGCAGGCUGUGGUACUUAAAUGCAAUAGCUGAUCUAAUCACCAGUCUCGUUCUCUGGGAAGCUUUUUGCUGCAUUUUAGCACAGAAAAGUGUUGUCUUUCUCUCUUUUGUGGCUCGAGCUGCUAUUUAAGAAAGCAAAAAAAAAAAAAUCAAUAUGCCUUCUCAGGCUUUCAUUCUUUUUCCCCCAAAAGGUGUUUCUUUGGGGAGGGGGAAAAGGUAGAGGGGGGAGUCGAGGAGCGUUUUUGUCAUUCAUAAGCCAUGGUGACAAAUCCUUGACAUCAUUCGCGGUUCCUAUCGAUCAGCUCCGUCCGCGGCACCAGAGGACAAAUAGAAAUCAUUUGUCUGUCUUGGCUCCCAAACAACCUGAGACAAAGGGCUCGGCCAGCAAUCAGCAGCUGGAGGUAUUAGCAGCGGGUCAAGUUCGGAGAUCAGAGGUCAAACAGGUUGUCAUCAGUUUCUCACAGCUAUCAGAGCAAGGGCAGGGGAGGGGCAGAAUAAAACCCACCAACAACACAGCUGGUUCUUAUUAGCCAAAUCCUGCCAACCCUGCCUCCCUGCAAAGAAAGAUGGGCCACUGCCCCCCCAGGGACGCCCUGGGAUGCAGGAUUUCAUGGGUUGGCGGCAGGGGUGUGAGAGGCCAAGGAAGAAAAGAAGCAAGAUCUGAGCUCUGCCUCUUGCUGUGUGUCCUGAGCACCCUCCCAAGGGAAGCUCUGAGUUAUUCUGUCCUGGGCCGUGAAAAAGAGAGAGAAAGAGGAGAGAGAGAGAGACAGAGAGGAGAAAGAGAGAGAGAGAGACAGAGAGGGGAAAGAGAGAGAGAGAGACAGAGAGAGACAGAGAGAGACAGAGACCGGGACCUCAGGUUUCUCUGGGAGUCCUAGCAAGCAAGUUAAUCUUGUAUAAUUGGAAGUGGCUUAAAUGGCCUGGGAAACAGGGGAUGCAGCCAGGGUACAGUUGAGUCAUGUUAAGUCCCUGAUUACACAUCACCUGUUUUGGUUUCUCCUCCCACCCUCGAGAUGAGACCCAAUUCUUAGGACAAUUAAUCUAGACAAAGAUAUGGAAGGAUGAGGGUGGCAUAUCCAGCCCCCGUGGAGUGACACGUACGGCGGGUGACUGGGGAGUGAGGAGAAG